AUGGAACCUUGUUCACCACUUGGCAUGAACUCAACACAACCAUCUGUAGCAUUUCCUCCCAUUGCAGCUGCAUGGUUUUUCAAGCAUUCUCUGUACUUGACCACCACUUGUGAUAACGGUUUCUUGGCGGCUGAGGAAGAUGUUAUGAUGUUAUUGUGGCUGUUGAUUUUGACUUGUGUUUGUGUUUCCCUUUGUGAACAGGAUUUCAUAAUCGAAGAAAGGAUUUAA